UACGUAGGGGGCUAGCGUUGUCCGGAAUCAUUGGGCGUAAAGAGCGUGUAGGCGGCUCGGUAAGUCCGCUGUGAAAGUCCAGGGCUCAACCCUGGAAUGCCGGUGGAAACUGUCGGGCUAGAGUCCGGAAGAGGCGAGUGGAAUUCCUGGUGUAGCGGUGAAAUGCGCAGAUAUCAGGAGGAACACCAAUGGCGAGGGCAGCUCGCUGGGACGGUACUGACGCUGAGACGCGAAAGCGUGGGGAGCAAACAGG
rnacentral:rRNA from 1 species